GAGUUUGAUCGUGGCUCAGAUUGAACGCUGGCGGCGUGCCUAACACAUGCAAGUCGAGCGGUAACAGGCGUAGCAAUACGUGCUGACGAGCGGCGAACGGGUGAGCAAUGCUUCGGAAUCUGCCCAAUGGUGGGGAAUAACCAGUCGAAAGAUUGGCUAAUACCGCAUACGCCCUUCGGGGAAAGCGGGGUCGCAAGACCUCGCGCCGAUGGAUGAGCCGAAGUCGGACUAGCUAGUUGGUAGGGUAACGGCCGUACCAAGGCGACGAUCCGUAGCUGGUCUGAGAGGACGACCAGCCACACUGGGACUGAGACACGGCCCACGACUCCUACGGGAGGCAGCAGUGGGGAAGUAUUGGACAAUGGGGGCGAACCCUCGAUCCAGCGACGCCGCGUGUGUGAAGAAGGCCUGCGGGUUGUAAAGCACUUUUAGUGGGGAUGAAAAGCACAUCGCUAAUACCGGUGUGUCUUUGACCUAACCCAAAGAAAAGACACCGGCUAACUCUGUGCCAGCAGCCGCGGUAAC
rnacentral:rRNA from 1 species